rnacentral:rRNA from 1 species
CCUACGGGUGGCAGCAGUGAGGAAUAUUGGUCAAUGGUCGGGAGACUGAACCAGCCAAGCCGCGUGAGGGAUGAAGGUACAGAGUAUCGUAAACCUCUUUUGUCAGGGAACAAAGUCGGGGACGCGUCCCCGGAUGAGUGUGCCUGAAGAAAAAGCAUCGGCUAACUCCGUGCCAGCAGCCGCGGUAAUACGGAGGAUGCGAGCGUUAUCCGGAUUUAUUGGGUUUAAGGGGUGGGCAGGGGGUCUGUUAAGUCAGCGGGAAAAUUGCGGGGCUCAACCCCGUCGAGCAGUUGAAACUGGCAGACUUGAGUUGGCGAGAGGUACGCGGAAUGCGCGGUGUAGCGGUGAAAUGCAUAGAUAUCGCGCAGAACUCCGAUUGCGAAGGCAGCAUGCCGGCUCCACACUGACGCUGAGGCACGAAAGCGUGGGUAUCGAACAGGAUUAGAUACCCCAGUAGUC